AGUGAACGCUGGCGGUAGGCCUAACACAUGCAAGUCGAACGGCAGCACAGUAAGAGCUUGCUCUUACGGGUGGCGAGUGGCGGACGGGUGAGGAAUACAUCGGAAUCUACUUUUUCGUGGGGGAUAACGUAGGGAAACUUACGCUAAUACCGCAUACGACCUACGGGUGAAAGCAGGGGAUCUUCGGACCUUGCGCGAUUGAAUGAGCCGAUGUCGGAUUAGCUAGUUGGCGGGGUAAAGGCCCACCAAGGCGACGAUCCGUAGCUGGUCUGAGAGGAUGAUCAGCCACACUGGAACUGAGACACGGUCCAGACUCCUACGGGAGGCAGCAGUGGGGAAUAUUGGACAAUGGGCGCAAGCCUGAUCCAGCCAUACCGCGUGGGUGAAGAAGGCCUUCGGGUUGUAAAGCCCUUUUGUUGGGAAAGAAAAGCAGCAGGUUAAUACCCCGCUGUCCUGACGGUACCCAAAGAAUGAGCACCGGCUGACUUCGUG
rnacentral:rRNA from 1 species